rnacentral:rRNA from 1 species
GACGAACGCUGGCGGCGCGCUUAACACAUGCAAGUCGAACGGUGAAGGGACCGGUUUUUGCUGGUUCUGGAUGAGUGGCGAACGGGUGAGUAACACGUGAGUAACCUGCCCCCUUCUUCUGGAUAACCGCAUGAAAGUGUGGCUAAUACGGGAUAUUCUGCGCCUGCUGCAUGGUGGGUGUGGGAAAGAUAUUGUUUCGGUGGGGGAUGGGCUCGCGGCCUAUCAGCUUGUUGGUGGGGUGAUGGCCUACCAAGGCGGUGACGGGUAGCCGGCCUGAGAGGGUGGACGGUCACACUGGGACUGAGACACGGCCCAGACUCCUACGGGAGGCAGCAGUGGGGAAUAUUGCACAAUGGGCGCAAGCCUGAUGCAGCGACGCCGCGUGAGGGAUGGAGGCCUUCGGGUUGUAAACCUCUUUCGCCAGUGAAGCAGGCCUGUCCCUUUUGUGGGUGGGUUGACGGUAGCUGGAUAAGAAGCGCCGGCUAACUACGUG